rnacentral:rRNA from 1 species
CCUACGGGAGGCAGCAGUGAGGAAUAUUGGUCAAUGGACGCAAGCCUGAACCAGCCAAGUAGCGUGCAGGAUGACUGCCCUACGGGUUGUAAACUUCUUUUAUAAAGGAAUAAAGUGAGGCACGUGUGCCUUUUUGUAUGUACUGUAUGAAUAAGGAUCGGCUAACUCCGUGCCAGCAGCCGCGGUAAUACGGAGGGUCCGAGCGUUAUCCGGAUUUAUUGGGUUUAAAGGGAGCGUAGAUGGGUUGUUAAGUCAGUUGUGAAAGUUUGCGGCUCAACCGUGAAAUUGCAAUUGAUACUGGCAGUCUUGAGUACAGUUGAGGUAGGCGGAAUGCGUGGUGUAGCGGUGAAAUGCUUAGAUAUCAUGAAGAACUCCGAUUGCGAAGGCAGCUUACCAAACUGCAACUGACAUUGAUGCUCGAAAGUGUGGGUAUCAAACAGGAUUAGAUACCCUUGUAGUC